CCUACGGGAGGCAGCAGUGAGGAAUAUUGGUCAAUGGGCUUACGCCUGAACCAGCCAAGUCGCGUGAGGGAGGACGGCCCUAUGGGUUGUAAACCUCUUUUGUCAGGGAGCAAAGCCGGCCACGUGUAGCCGGACUGAGAGUACCUGAAGAAAAAGCAUCGGCUAACUCCGUGCCAGCAGCCGCGGUAAUACGGAGGAUGCGAGCGUUAUCCGGAUUUAUUGGGUUUAAAGGGUGCGUAGGCGGAAUGCCAAGUCAGCGGUAAAAGCGCGGGGCUCAACCUCGCUCCGCCGUUGAAACUGGCGUUCUUGAGUGGGAGAGAAGUAUGCGGAAUGCGUGGUGUAGCGGUGAAAUGCAUAGAUAUCACGCAGAACUCCGAUUGCGAAGGCAGCAUACCGGCGCCCAACUGACGCUGAAGCACGAAAGCGUGGGUAUCGAACAGGAUUAGAUACCCGGGUAGUC
rnacentral:rRNA from 1 species